CGGACAGAGCUGGCGUAUCUGGCCUGCAUUCAGUUGCGUGCCCGUCGGAGUCAGUGUGCCGCUCUCCAGACUGGGACGGUGCGCUGUCUGCUGGCGAGCGCGUGGUGCAUUUGCAGGUGGAGUGCGCCGAGGCGCCCGGCGCAGCGGCAUGAGCUCGGCUCUGAGGCCUUUCUCCGCAAGGGGUCUGGUACCCGUGCCGGGGGAGUGCUGUUUGUGCUGGGUGGACAAGAGGGCAAUGGACACGGGCCCGGGUUGGGGCCGAGCUGGCGGUAGGUGGCGGUCGCGUGCGACACGUGCCAGCAGUCAGUUCGGUCCUGCUCGAGCUCUCAUAUAUGCUCGUCCUCGGCGUAAAAGCCGGUCAUCUGUCCGACCCGUCUUGAAACACGGACCAAGGAGUUUAGCGUGUGCGCGAGUCAUGGGCGUUGAAAACCCAGAGGCGCAAUGAAAGUGAAGGUCUCCCUUGCGGAGCUGAUGUGUGAUCCUGGCCACCGCGGUGCGCCGGGCGCAACAUAGUCCCGUCCUGACCGCUUGCGGUGGGGCGGCGACAGA
rnacentral:rRNA from 1 species